rnacentral:rRNA from 1 species
UACGUAGGGGGCAAGCGUUGUCCGGAUUUAUUGGGCGUAAAGAGCGUGUAGGCGGCCAGACAGGUCAGCUGUGAAAACUCGAGGCUCAACCUCGAGACGUCGGUUGAAACCGUCUGGCUAGAGUCCGGAAGAGGAGAGUGGAAUUCCCGGUGUAGCGGUGAAAUGCGCAGAUAUCGGGAAGAACACCCGUGGCGAAGGCGGCUCUCUGGGACGGUACUGACGCGUGAGACGCGAAAAGCGUGGGGAGCCGAACGAGG